rnacentral:rRNA from 1 species
UACGAAGGGGGCUAGCGUUGUUCGGAAUUACUGGGCGUAAAGGGCGCGUAGGCGGCCUGUUAAGUCGAACGUGAAAUCCCCGGGCUCAACCCGGGAACUGCGUCCGAUACUGGCAGGCUUGAAUCCGGGAGAGGGAUGUGGAAUUCCAGGUGUAGCGGUGAAAUGCGUAGAUAUCUGGAGGAACACCGGUGGCGAAGGCGGCAUCCUGGACCGGUAUUGACGCUGAGGCGCGAAAGCCAGGGGAGCAAACGGG